GCCGCGGUAAUACGUAGGGAGCAAGCGUUGUCCGGAUUUACUGGGUGUAAAGGGUGCGUAGGCGGUUUGGUAAGUCAGAAGUGAAAUCCAUGGGCUUAACCCAUGAACUGCUUUGGAAACUGUACGGCUGGAGUGCUGGAGAGGCAAGCGGAAUUCCUAGUGUAGCGGUGAAAUGCGUAGAUAUUAGGAGGAACACCAGUGGCGAAGGCGGCUUGCUGGACAGUAACUGACGUUGAGGCUCGAAAGCGUGGGGAGCAAACAG
rnacentral:rRNA from 1 species